GAUGAACGCUGGCGGCGUGCUUAACACAUGCAAGUCGAACGGAAAGGCUCCUGCUUGCAGGGGUACUCGAGUGGCGAACGGGUGAGUAACACGUGGGUGAUCUGCCCUGCACUUCGGGAUAAGCCUGGGAAACUGGUUCUAAUACCGGAUAGGACGAUGGUUUGGAUGCCAUUGUGGAAAGUUUUUUCGGUGUGGGAUGAGCGCGCGGCCUAUCGGCUUGUUGGUGGGGUAGUGGUCUACCAAGGCAGAGACGGGUAGCCGGCCUGAGAGCGUGUACAGGGACAAUGCGACUGAGAGACGGAGCAGACUGGUACGGGGGGCAGUAGUGGAGAAUAUUGCACAACGAGCGCGAGUCUGAUGAAGAGACGCUGGGUUGGUGAUGACGGUCUUGUGGUGGUGAACUGCAUUCGGUAGGGACGAAGCUCAAGUGACGUUACCUGGAGAAGAAGCACCGGCUAACUACGUG
rnacentral:rRNA from 1 species